rnacentral:rRNA from 3 species
AGACCUCAGGUCAGACGGGGCUACCCGCUGAGUUUAA